rnacentral:rRNA from 1 species
UACGUAGGGGGCUAGCGUUGUCCGGAAUCAUUGGGCGUAAAGAGCGUGUAGGCGGCCCGGUAAGUCCGCUGUAAAAGUCAAAGGCUCAACCUUUGAAUGUCAGUGGAUACUGCCGGGCUAGAGUCCGGAAGAGGCGAAUGGAAUUCCUGGUGUAGCGGUGGAAUGCGCAGAUAUCAGGAGGAACACCGGUGGCGAAGGCGGGUCUCUGGGCCGACAUUGACGCUGAGGAGCGAAAGCGUGGGGAGCGAACAGG